rnacentral:rRNA from 1 species
UAAAAUUAUUUUAUAUAAUAUAUUAGAAAUGAAAUGUUAUUCGUUUUUAAAGAUAUCUAGUUCUUUAAGAAAUAAAUUUAAUUUAGAAAUUUUAUAUUAUUUAAUUUAAUGAAUUAAUUAAAUAAUUAUUUAAUUUUAAUAUUUUGUGGGAUAAGCUAUAAAAUAAAAUUUUAAAAAUUAUUAAUUAAAUUAAUAAAUAUAAGCUUAUAAAUAGUUAUUAUUAAUAAAAAUGUUAUAAUUUAUUUUUUUUUAUUAUAUUAUUUAUUUAUAUUUUAAAAAUUUUAUUAAAGUAUUUAUUUUAUUUUAAAAAAUGAAAUAAUAAUGAUAAAAUUAGUAUAUUAUUUUAUGUAAAUAUAUACAUAUAUAUAUAUAAAUGAUAAGUUUUUAUAAAGAAUUCGGCAAAAAUAAUAUUCGCCUGUUUAACAAAAACAUGUCUUUACGAAUUUUUUAUAAAGUCUAACCUGCCCACUGAAAUUAAAUUUAAAUGGCUGCAGUAUUUUGACUGUACAAAGGUAGCAUAAUCAUUAGUCUUUUAAUUGAAGGCUGGUAUGAAUGGUUGGACGAAAUAUUGACUGUUUCAUAAAAAUUUUUAUUAAAAUUUUAUUUUUUAGUUAAAAAGCUAAAAUUUAUUUAAAAGACGAGAAGACCCUAUAAAUCUUUAUAUUUAAAUUAUUAUUAUUUUUUAGAAUUGUUUUAUUAUUAUAAUUUGGUAAUAUUUUGUUGGGGUGAUAUUAAAAUUUAAUUAACUUUUAAUUUAUUAUAACAUUAAUUUAUGAAUAAUUGAUCCAAUAUUAUUGAUUAAUAAAAUAAGUUACUUUAGGGAUAACAGCGUAAUUUUUUUGGAGAGUUCUUAUUAAUAAUAAAGAUUGCGACCUCGAUGUUGGAUUAAGAUAUAAUUUUAGGUGUAGUAGCUUAAAUUUUAAGUCUGU